rfam:Providencia rettgeri DSM 1131 genomic scaffold Scfld6, whole genome shotgun sequence.
GUAGAUGCUCAUCUCACUUCUUAUGACAGCGAAGCUUCAUAAACCCAGAGAUGACGCAAAGCCGAUUAUCGGUGCCUAUUGUCCAACUUAGAUGAUCAAGAGCUCAUCCUCUUACCAUCAACGAACGGGCGAAACGUUGAGUGAGGCACCAUCCGUCUGUAGACCUGAUUGUAUUUUACACCUGCCUUGUGCAGGUGUUUUUUU